CAGGCGGACUCUCAACCACUGCGCCACCAGGGAAGCCCCAAAGAUGUUAUUUUUAAAAAAGGAACAAGGAUGUUCUCCAUAUACUGACAGAGAAAGUUCUCCACAACUAUUGUUCUGUGCGGAAAGUAAAAUGCAGAAGUGUGUAUAAAACGUUACCAUCUGCUUAAAGACAGUGGGGAGGAGAUACAAGAAUAUAUAUUCUAGUAAAUCAACUACAUAUCCACUUAAAAAAAAAAAAAAGACUAUAUAUCCUAAAUGCCUUUCUAGGUCUAAAGAACUUCCAGAAGGAUCUCUACAGCACUAAACCCACUUAUGAACUAGGAGGGGGACCCAGCAGAUGGGACGGAGACACUCCACUGCAAAUUUUUCAAAAAUAGUUUUUGGUUUUUCAGCCAAUGUCCUAAACAUUCCAAAAAGCAAAAGUUUUUUUUUAAUUUGUUUUUUUUUUUUUGGCCAUGCCCUGAGGCUUGCAGGAUCUUUGUUCCCUGACCAGGGAUUGAACACGGGCCACAGCAGUGAAGGCUCCAAGUCCUAACCACUGGACCACCAGGGAAUUCCCCAAAAAGUACAUUUUAUAAAAUGUGUUAAAAAAAAUAAGAGGACAGUUUCCGCCAUCACUCAUCAGCGUAAACUGUUACUUGCAGCCGAACGCACACAAACUAAAAAGCCUUUCAGUGGUAAAAGGAAGCACUGGGAUUUGAACCCAGACUUCGGGACACCAAAUCCUUGGACUGCCUUCCAGGACACCCCACUGCCUCAUUUCCAGUGUCCAGGAAAAUGCUGCGAAACUGGGCAUCUGCUGGCACGACCUCCCUUCCCUCUACCCUUCCCCGGCGGAAAUUCAGGAGCCUUCCCUAGUCAUGGCCCGAUUUCUCUCACAUGAUGCUUGAGGCAGAACCACUGGGGAGUCCUGAGAAGUGGGAGCCUGAGGUCUACCCCACGAGGGCCAGGGAGUUGGGUGGGCAGGUCCUGAGCCAGCCAUGGGUUUGUGGUCCUGGUUUCAAGAUGCCACACUUCAUCCUGUUUCUUAACAGAUGCCCCCCACCCUCCUCCAGGGCUUACUUACAAGCAGCAUCGUCCGUCUAACCCUGUCUGUGCUCACCGCCUGGAGGGCUGCAGGGGAGUCGCUAACCAGCCUCCGGCUUCCUCUCGGGUCCCUUCUAAACUCAGCUCCCCACUCGGGCCAAAGAGAUCCAUUUGAUUUGAGGUCACGUGGUUUCCCCUCCCCAGGACUCUCCGCUGCCCCACUCAACAAAACAGUGCUGGGGAGACAGCGGCAAGGACAACAGACAUCCCUACUCUCCUGAAGACGUUCUAGGACAGGAGUCAGACCACGAACAAAGACAUGGUGCUGAGAGGAGGAAAGCAAGGAGGCGGGAGAAAGGAUCCCUCCGGCUGCUGAGUGGAGAACGAAUUGCAGGAGGCGAGGAUGGGAGCAGGGAGCCCAGAGAGGAGGCCAAUGGUGGCAGGGGAAGAGGCGAGAAGUGGUUGGAGUCUGGAUUUGAUGGCAAAGCAACAGGGUCUGCAGACGGACUGACCAGGAGGUGUAGGGGAAAGAGCAGAGUCAAGGGCCCGCUGGAAUCUGAGCCGGACAGCAGGGCAGAGCAGCUAAAAGUGGGCAGCCAGGCAGGAUGUGAAGUGCACACGCACCCUUACACCAGCUCUCCUGGUUGAUCAAGCAGCUGCUCCAGCUAAGGCCAUUCCUCGCUAAGGUAUUCCGACGGUCCCAAAGCUACUAAUUAUCUUAUUAGGAGAGGGGUUGGCCUCCCGCCCAGGACCAUGCCGGGAGGGCUGCUGCUCAGAGACAGAGAAAAAUAGCUGAGAUAUGCAAGGCCUUCAAAUCUUCCUCACCCAGCAGCUCUUUGUGUGUCUUGUUUCAGAACCUGGCCUUUCCCCGACGUCUAAACUGAGAUUGGCGGUUUACAUCUGACUUUGAAUCCUUAAACCAUCUGGGGGUAUAUGGUGUAAGAAAGUUCCCCCAAAGGGGGAGAAGACAGAAGAAUACAAAAGAAUAACUGUCUCCCUCAUCUACUACUGGUAGAAUGUAACAUGGUGUGAUCACGUGGGAAACAGUC